ensembl:lncRNA
UGUGUGUGUGUGUGACAGGAGAGUGCAUGUGGUGUGUGUGAGAUAUGUGUGAGGUGUGUGUGAAGACUGUGUGUGUGCGUGACAGGAGAGUGCAUGUGGUGUGUGUGAGAUAUGUGUGAGGUGUGUAUGAAGACUGUGUGUGUGCGUGACAGGAGAGUGCAUGUGGUGUGUGUGAGAUAUGUAUGAGGUGUGUGUGAAGACUGUGUGUGUGCGUGACAGGAGAGUGCAUGUGGUGUGUGUGAGAUAUGUGUGAGGUGUGUGUGAAGACUGUGUGUGUGCGUGACAGGAGAGUGCAUGUGGUGUGUGUGAGAUAUGUGUGAGGUGUGUAUGAAGAGUGUGUGUGAGAAUGAAAGGGUAAUGAACAGAGGUGUGCAUGAGUGUGGGAGUUUGAAAAGAGAAAACUGCAAUAAAAAAAGCAGAGUGCACAAAAGAAUGCAGAGUGUGUUUAUCCUCAAGCUCUGAGAGAGUGAGAGAGAGAGAGACAGAGAGAGAGAGAGAGAGAGAGAGAGAGAGAGAGAGAGAGAGAGAGAAUGACUUUAAGCCUUGAAGUUGCCUGUCAGUUUGUACCCAAAGAGUAGUCUGUGGGUAUGUAUUAUGCGCCUUCCAGAUAACCCUGUUUCCAGGU